CGUUAGAUCACCGAAGUUAAGCAUCAUUGGGCGCGGUCAGUACUUGGGUGGGUGACCACCUGGGAACACUGCGUGCCGUU
rnacentral:rRNA from 1 species